GGGAGAGACAAAUAUCCAGGAUGUAGUGGUUAACAAUGAUGUUGAAGAUACGGAGCUGGAGGUUAAAGAGGUAGGUGAAAUGAAGUCUCCUCAGAACGGUGAAUAUGGUAGUAGAGGUGAGCCUCAAAACCUUUCUCUGGAGAACAAGGAAAAAUACUUCUGCUCACAAGCUUCAGAUCUUGGUAUGGAAGUGGCCCGAGAGUGUAGUGCACUAUCAUCUGAAACUUAUGUCAUUGAGGAAGCCCCGCAAGUUGAUGCUAAUAUAAUGGACUCUGAGGUAGAUUCCCAAGCAGGUGAGGGAGAUAGAAUGUCGGCCAAAGAUGUGUCUGAAAAGGUUUCUGAAUCAUCUAUAUCAACGACACUGCAAAUUCCAACACCUAGUACAAAGGGGAAGAAGAACAAGGGGAAAAAUUCUCAAGCCUCAGGCUUGGUUUCCCCAUCUCCAAGUGCUUUCAAUUCUAAUGAAUCUUCCACCGAACCUUGCGGUAGUUCAAGCCUUCCCCCACCUGAAGCAGCUUUUCCUCCUUUACUGGCC
rnacentral:misc_RNA from 1 species